ensembl:lncRNA
GCGGGGUGAGGCGGGGUGAGGCGGGGUGGAGGGGGGGGUGAGGCGGGGCGGGGCAGCCAGGCACAGGGCGGGUGGCGCCCACCUUCCGGGCGGCAGUGACUUCCUUGGUGAGCCGGGCAAUGACGCGGCAGGCGGCCGUGCUGGUACAGCGCAUGCGGCAGCUCCUGGCGGGUGGUCUGCAGCUGCUGGCGCAGGGGUGAAGCUGUGCAGCAUGACGGCAUCCUGGGGGAAGGGCUGCACUGAGGGCGGGAGGCGCACACACCAGGCCCGAGGCACCCCGACUCGCGGGCAGACGACGCGCUCCGCCCGCACACCAACCGGCCCAGACUGCGGCCCAGACCGCGGCCGGCUCCCUCCCAACCCAACGCUUCCGAGGAUGCCGUGCGCGCAAGGCCAGCACCACUCUGGGCAACGCCACAAGGAAGUCCCGUGCCACAGGCUUGUGCUCCCUGUCCUGCCCCUCAGAACCCGGAGAAACAGCGCUAAUCUAUGCCCUGCAGUCAGGGAAACCGGGACUCAGACUGAGCAACACGACCCCAGCCACACUGAAGCACUGGAGCCAGGCCAGGAACCCGGGUCCGUAUGACUUCAGCCACCAGGCAUUCCGAGCCGCGCAGGAGGCCCAGCCGCAGGCUCAGCGGGAAGAGGCAGAGACAGCACAGCCGCACCAUCCCUCUCCCCCUCCAAGCUCACCCACUCGUCCUGCAGGGCUUUCAGGAUGGCUGGGAUGCUGGUGGCCGAGGGAGGCUUGGGCCGGAUCAGGGUGAGCAACUGCCAAGGCAGAGGAAGGCCACCGUGAGGGCCGGUGGAGGGCCCCAGCCCACCUGCGCUCCCUGCGCCCCGGCGGGGCCCGGGCGGCACCUUUGAUGUCGAUGAGCUGCUCCUCGGAGAGCGGCUGGUUGUUGAUGGGGUCGGUCCCAUUCUCCGCGAUGUACUUCUCGAUGAGCCGCCGCUCGUACACGUGAUUGGACACGGGGGACACGCACGGGUGCUCUGGGACCUCAUUGGAGACUGCAGAGGAGCGGGUGUGAGCUGGGGCAGAGGGCAGGGGGCAGGCGCCCGGGCCCCUGGCUGCCCGCUCCUCGCUCCUCGGACGGCGUCUCCGUCUCCUCCUGACGGCCCCCAUCACCGCUCACCCGGCGCCUGCCGCCUCCGAGCAGCCUGGAGCCCGCACGGCCCCCAACCCGGGGCAACGCUGGCCAGGCAGGUGAGGCCCAGGAGGACGCCUCGGACUCCGCACACGGGGAGGGCCGCAGCUGCAGCGCCGUCGCCACUUCCGGGCCGGGCAGCCUCGGCCGAGCCUCGUCUUUCCGAGCCCUUCAUCCGCCUCUGCGGAGCCGGCACCGGCCGGGCCCCCACCGCGUCCUUGGCCCCGCAAUGUGGCCCGGCUCUACGGACUGCGGGGGCGCGGACACGGCGGUGGGCGGACAGGGAAACUGAGGCCCGCGGCCGCCACCAGGCGCGUGCUGGGCAGUCCCGGGUCGGCGAGAAAGCGCCCGCCCCCCAUGCCCACUGGAGCCAGCGCUGGAGCCGCGCCCGCGCCCGCCCGACCCGGCCCGGCCGCACUCACUGGAGCAGAUCAGGGACAUGGCGCCGGCCGCGCGCCCUGCCGCCUCACGCGCCGGGCUCCGGAUGCGCCCCUGCCCGCCCCCGGCCGCUUCCGGCUCCCCGGGGCUUCCGAGACGCUCCGCGGUGAGAGGGGCGGCCCGCGAGCGGGAGGCCGCGCUGCGCUUCACGUGCGAGGGCGGCCGGCGGCGGCUCGGACGGACCCCAGCGCCCAACGGAAACUGCGCUUUCCCACAAUACACCCCGGCCGGAAACGGCCUCCCAAGGGUGUUCUGUUCCUUCCGGUUGAACUCGGCUGAGGGACGGGAGGCGGGAAGGAGAGCGGAAGGUACCCUUUCCUCGUUGCCUCGGGAACGCGAAGUCAAAGCGGUUCGCCCGCGGCUGUUCUGGCAGCAGCGCCGCGCGGAACAAGGGGCACCGAGGCUUUGAAACUUUGGUGUGCGAGAGAAUUUCCUAAGAGCUCGUUAAAACAGAUUCUUUGGGUGCCCCACGGAGUCCCCAGGUCUCCACGUGGUUCUCGAUGGGCUUUUGCACUGAGCUACAUCCCAGCCCAUUUUAUUUUUUGAUUUUGAGACAAGGUCUCUCUGAGUCACUGAAUUGUCCAGCCCCCAGGCUGGUCUUGAACUUGCCAUCCUCCUGCCUCAGCCUCCUAAACUUCUGAGAUCACAGGGUGGACCACCACUCCCACCGCUUCCCAACUUGCUGUA